UGGGAUGUAGCUCAAUGGUAAAGCACUUGCCUCAUAUGCAUGAGGCCCUGGAUUCAAUCCCUUCCACCACAA
rnacentral:tRNA from 1 species